rnacentral:rRNA from 1 species
CGCUGAGUUUGAUCCUGGCUCAGGAUGAACGCUAGCGGCAGGCUUAACACAUGCAAGUCGAGGGGUAUAGUUCUUCGGAGCUAGAGACCGGCGCACGGGUGCGUAACGCGUAUGCAAUCUACCUUUUACAGAGGGAUAGCCCAGAGAAAUUUGGAUUAAUACCUCAUAGUAUGUGAGAAUCGCAUGGUUUUUCAACAUUAAAAGUUUCCAACGGUAAAAGAUGAGCAUGCGUCCCAUUAGCUAGAUGGUAAGGUAACGGCUUA